rnacentral:rRNA from 1 species
GAUGAACGCUGGCGGCGUGCCUAAUACAUGCAAGUCGAGCGAACAGACGAGGAGCUUGCUCCUCUGACGUUAGCGGCGGACGGGUGAGUAACACGUGGAUAACCUACCUAUAAGACUGGGAUAACUUCGGGAAACCGGAGCUAAUACCGGAUAAUAUAUUGAACCGCAUGGUUCAAUAGUGAAAGACGGUUUUGCUGUCACUUAUAGAUGGAUCCGCGCCGCAUUAGCUAGUUGGUAAGGUAACGGCUUACCAAGGCAGCGAUGCGUAGCCGACCUGAGAGGGUGAUCGGCCACACUGGAACUGAGACACGGUCCAGACUCCUACGGGAGGCCGCAGUAGGGAAUCUUCCGCAAUGGGCGAAAGCCUGACGGAGCAACGCCGCGUGAGUGAUGAAGGUCUUCGGAUCGUAAAACUCUGUUAUUAGGGAAGAACAAAUGUGUAAGUAACUAUGCACGUCUUGACGGUACCUAAUCAGAAAGCCACGGCUAACUACGUG